rnacentral:rRNA from 1 species
AUUGAACGCUGGCGGCAUGCCUUACACAUGCAAGUCGAACGGCAGCGCGGACUUCGGUCUGGCGGCGAGUGGCGAACGGGUGAGUAAUACAUCGGAACGUACCCUGUUGUGGGGGAUAACUAGUCGAAAGAUUAGCUAAUACCGCAUACGACCUGAGGGUGAAAGUGGGGGACCGCAAGGCCUCACGCAGCAGGAGCGGCCGAUGUCUGGUUAGCUAGUUGGUGGGGUAAAGGCCCACCAAGGCGACGAUCAGUAGCUGGGCUGUGAGGACGAUCGGCCACACUGGGACGGAGACACGGCCCAGACUCCUACGGGAGGCAGCAGUGGGGAAUUUUGGACAAUGGGGGCAACACUGAUCCAGCAAUGCCGCGUGUGUGAAGAAGGCCUUCGGGUUGUAUAGCACUUUUGUCCGGAAAGAAAUCGCGCUGGUUAAUACCUGGCGUGGAUGACGGUACCGGAAGAAUAAGCACCGGCUAACUACGUGCCAGCAGCCGCCGUAA